rnacentral:rRNA from 1 species
CCCUACGGGGUGCAGCAGGCGCGAAACCUCUGCAAUAGGCGAAAGCUUGACAGGGUUACUCUGAGUGAUGCCCGCUAAGGGCAUCUUUUGGCACCUCUAAAAAUGGUGCAGAAUAAGGGGUGGGCAAGUCUGGUGUCAGCAGCCGCGGUAA